rnacentral:lncRNA from 1 species
CCUGUACCCAUACCUCUUGGCUCUGUGGGCCAGACCUCAUCCCUCGGAAACCUCCAGGGGAGAACAAAGGGCUCCUCCAACUCUGGCCAGGAAAGUCAGGAAAGGAUGCAUCUGUCUACCUUUGGAGCCCUCGAUUCAAAGACCCACCUGCCUGGAAGGGGCUGGAGAGGUGUGGAGAUGGGAGUUCCAAGUGCCAAGGGUCACCCGGUGCGGAGGCCUGAAUAAUAUUCCAUUUUAUGGAUUUACCACAUUUUGUUGAUCUGUUCACCUGUUGGGGACACUCGGGUCGCUUCCACCUUUUGGCUGUUGUGAACGAUGCUGCCGAGAACAUGACUUCUAGAAGCCACCUGUGUUCUUUGACCCAUGGCCCCCUUUCAAUGUCAAGGCCAGCGACGCCCUGGAGUCUGACGCCACUCCUGCUGUCUUGCCUCCCUUUCCACACUGAAUAGAGCCUUGUGAUGACACUGGGCCCACCCAGAUAACCCAGGAUCGUCUCUCAUCUCAAGAUCCCUACUUUACUCACCUCUGCAAAAUCCCUUUGGCCAUGGAAGGCUGCUGCGUGGUCUCUGGCGUGAGUCAGGCAACCAGGUUGGCUACCACGACAAGAUGCAAAAUAACAGUGACGUAGACAUGGGGAGAUUUUAGUCGUUGCUCAACAAAUACAGUCUCUUCCUCACCAACGUGUAAGUUCCAGAGGUCAAGGAUGGUGCCUGCGUGGAAUCCCUGUGUGUCCCAGGAACACGCACCUGGUCAAUGAAUAAAUGAAUGAGCCAUGCAUGCUUGCAGGUGUUUGUGGAGUGUUUGUUACUGGGCACACUUGUUGCUGGGAUACACAGCUGAGCAAAACACAACCGGAUCCUCCUGCACAUUGCUUACAGGGAGACAAACUUUGCUCAUAUAAUCACUCCUGAACAAGCAGAAUCCAGUACACAGGUGGGCCCUGUGGAAGCACCGUCAAGGCCUUGCUGCAUGGUAAGCAUUAAAAUACAGCCGCCACCGUGGCAGGAUUCUUACUGUGGGGGUGUGCUGAGCCAGGGGUGAGGGCACUGGAUGCAGCCCAUCCCCACAUUCCUGUGGGCCCCAGGGGGGCUACCUCCUCCUGGGGGAGGUGCCUUUCUCUAAGUAUCACAGAGGCAUCACAGGGGCUGGUGACUGCCUUAGUCGCUAACUGUGUGGUUGUUGCCUGUGAGAUCCUGCCCCUCAGACAAGCUGAGCAAGAUGGCCAGGUCAGAUGGCUGCAGCGUCUAUCUGGGAGAACAUGUGGGGACCAGUUCUGUGGCGAGGGCCCUGGGUGGCCUUGGGGAAAUGCUUUGUCUCUCUGGGCUUCCGUGUGCCCAAGUACAAGGGCACUGAGGCCUGACAUGCACAUAUCUGGUGGCAGCCCUGUUAGGAGGAAGGCCCUGCCACCCCACACUGCCCCAAAGGAACACUUCCGGGAUAGUGCAAGCAUUCCUGGGAUCUUCCUGGGCCCACGGCGCUGGGACCCUGCCCCAGACUCCACUGCUCACAUUGUCACGAGCCGCAGCCCUCUCUGUGUGCCCACAACACCGGUUCUCAACUGGGCACAGCUCCUUCUCCUGGCUUUGCCUGGGCUGUGCUUUACACCUGAAGUGGAACCCCUGCCCUUCCAUCCUGCUCUCCUUCGAGGCCUGCAGAUGCCAUGUCCUCCACACCUGAGGAUUCUGGAGGCCGGCAGGGCUUCUGGACAAAUCUGAGCACUUGCACUCUGGAGGCCCUGCCACAGUGGCUACUGCCCACCACGGACGAUUCUGUAGACCCUGCUUAGAAGAGACUGGCCAUCCAGAACAGCUCUGCUCCCACCCGGAGACUCAAGACUCCGCUCAGGAGUUCAGACUGUCUGGCAGCAGCUGUGGACUGCAGGGGUGAUGGCCGUGGCUGGCACCUGAGGCUGCAGCUCUCAAGACCUUGGUCCGAAGGAUGGGGGCUUCCACUCCCAACUGUGAGCUCACUUGCUGGGAAACUUGCCACACCCAGUGUCUGGACAUCAGAUGAACUUGCAGCCUCUUCCUUCCUUUCCCUUUCCGGUAUUUUAUUGGUGGAGGGCCAUGGGCAUCAGACAUGUGGGUUUUGGGGAGGGAGGUAACGGCAGAGUGGGGUUGGUGAGUAUCAGCCCCUCCUGCGAGCUGUGGGUGCUGCUGUGUGUUAGACAUCCCUGCUAGCUCCCUGUCCCACAUGAGCCCCCGGGUCCUCACUGGGCACUGGCCUCAUUCUCUUCUGGGAUCUCCCAGGCCCUGCACACAGUAAGUGGGCAGCACACAGUCACGAUGGCCACUUUUAACCCCACCGCCUUGAUCAAGACCUGGAGAGCUGGGGCAUCAGAGCGGGGGUCGACAGACUCGGAGGCCAACUGGCCUGGGGUUGAGCUAUUGUUGCCGACAUGGAACCCGAUCCAGUGAUUAAUGGGUCCAGGAAAUGAUCCCUAGCUCAGCUGGCCAGUCCGGGCAGCCUGGCAGCACGGGCCCACGCGGUUCAGGGGAUGGCCAGGAAGGCCUGCCGUGGGAGGGCUGGCGGGGGUGGCUGGCUGAGCUGUGGCUACAAUGCUGGGGCCAUGGGGGUCUGGGGGGGUAUGGACCAAGGGCCCCUUUCCAGGAAUGCAAUGCCCGGCUCCCUCCCUUCUCCCGUGUCUCCUAACAGGGCCCCCCGCCCCUCUCAGUUCCUCCAGGCUUCCUGCCCACAGCUCUGGACCGCUGGUGCCAAUGUGGAGGCAGACAGCUGGCUCCCUAGCCAUCCCUGAAACCUGUCCGAGCCCCUCCCCCACCUCCUGAUUCUAGAUGUCCUCAUCCCCACCCCCACGCUCAAAGGCUCCGGGAGUCUCCCGGGGCACCCCUUUGCACACUGUGGAGUCCUGUGGCCACCCUAGUCGCACGCUGUCCAUCCCUGGGGGUAGAACUUGAACAUCCAGGGUGAGGGGUCCAGGUUCCAGGCCCCGGGGCCAGGCCAGGCAGCCAGGAAGGUGCCCUGAGCUUCGGUCCUUCAGGGCUUGGCACGAGUGAACGUCUUCCCAGGCCAUUGUGUUGCAAUCCUUCUUGGCCACCGACCUCUGUUUCUCUGGCAAUUGCAGGAUUUUGCCGCUGUGAUUUGGGCAAUGUUUUUUUCCUUCUAAAUCACCACUCUGGAAGAAGGGACUCAGCUCAGAAUGAGCUGGCUUCCAUUGUUUCACUUCUUUCCACAAACAGCUCCACAGCUCCCCGCUAGGUACCCGUCCAAGUGUUUCCAGGCAUAAUGGCAGCCCAGGGGUCACCCUGAGGUGGGGCUGCGGCUAGGGCUGCGUGGUUCCCUGGGUUCUGCAGGUCUGACCUCUUGGGCCUGGAGGUUUCCAGGGCGUAGCGUUUGGGCUGCUUCUUGAAGCCCGCUCUGCUCGUGCGCCUGCUCUGGUUGAGCACUUCCCGAGCGCCUGCUGUGUGCGGGGCACAGGCCUGGCGCUGGUCUCCAGUAUCAUUCUAGCCCCACCCUGAGCACUCAGAGGAGCAGACACCUGACGAACGAACGGCAGGACUGGGCUUCCAGGCUGGGUCUGCACCCCCAGCCCCCGCCUCACAUCACUGCGUGCUCAGGGAAGGCGAGCCCGGCCCUGGUAGCUGGGAUUCCUCCCAGGUGCACGUCCUUCACAGUUUCUGAGUCCUUCUCAGAGCCGCUGUGAUCUAGGGCGCCGCUGCAGACUCUGAAGUCCACUUAGUGAUGACUUAUUCCCAUUCCACGCAUCAGUGGCCUCGGGCUCAGAGAGGUCAAGGUGCUUACACAAAGCCGCACAGCUGUAAGUGAUGGGGCAGGGGCUGGACACCAGAUCUGUGUGACUCCUGGUGUGAAGAAGGCCAAACUGGGGCAUCACCACCAGCCUCUGUCCCAGGUGGGAGGUUGGGGAACAGCCCCGCUGUACGUGAAGGGCCUGGUCAUGUCUGGCCUCUCAAGGUGCCCCCCAAAACGAACCCCUCCGUCUCCAUCCCACUCAGUUACGGUGGGUGACUGGGGACUUGCGGGGACAUGAGCCUGAGCUCAUGUUUGGUUCCAGUGAUGGGGAAACUGAGGUCAAGAUGGAGCAGGGUGGGGUUGUGAUGUCCUAGGCCCUUCCAGUGCUGCCGUCCCAGGAUCUCAGUGACGUCUUUUUCUGGGCCCCAUGAUGUUUGCAGCAACACCAAAAGGCCUCUCUGCUCCUUCCUCAUGAGAUCUUGGGCUCUGUCCAAGGCCAACUGAAGACUGGAAAUGGCAAAGAAAAGUUGGUCCCUGUCAUCCUCAAGGGGACCCGAUGCUGUUGGGAUUCUUGGCUCCCCACAUCUGCCUUCCAUGACCUCGCUGUCACCCCGGUAGUGGACAGAGGGGAAGAGGGAGUCGUGGCAGCACUAGACGCAGGCACCGUCCUCGCCCCCUCACUUCUGCCUGGGCCGGCGAUUGUUCUGGCCCCACUACCUGGCAGGGCUGAAGGCAGAGGUUGGGGUGCUCACCUUGCAGCUCCCUCAGGGGUUCUCCAAGAGGGGCUUUCCCAGCCAGGCCCUUCCUCCGCGCCUCCCUCGCCGCCCUCCUUCCUCUUACGGGUCUGCGUGGUCCCAGUGCCUGCUAGGUGGAUGCUUUCUGAAUAAAGGCAUAGACCUUGUGGGGUAGGACAUGCCUAUGCUGAAACCUAUUGACAUUUUAAUAUUCUGCUAACAAAUGAUACAA